rnacentral:lncRNA from 1 species
CACAGCUCUUGCACCCCGCCCUAGUUUGUCUACUAUUUAAACGGAAAGUUCAGGUCAGUUCCCCGAAGAUAGGCUUGGGGGGCCGGGAGGGGGGUGUCACUGGACCCCAUUCUCAGUUGUUCUACUCAACGUGGCCACAUUGGUUAAACUUCCCUGUUCUGUUCCUUCAUUAGUUGGGACAUAUUGGGAUGGACAGAUGGCUGAGCCCAGUCCACAGGACCCCACCCCCACCCCCGAGCUUGUACCUUUGCGCUAAAAUUCCAGUAGUGGGGUUGGGGGGGGGGCGGACACAGAGUUCCAGAAAGUUGCUCAGGUGAAGCCAGAGCCUUACAGACAGACACACAUCCUAAACAGGUGAACGACCUGGAAUGUCUGUCUCUCUGCAUCUUCCACAAACCCUUAAGGUGCCAUAGCCAGGGGCUAUCUGGAGGUGGGUCCUAUGGGCUGAAUUUGUGCUGCUCCUGAGCCACGAUGUUCCAUACCUUCUCAGUUUUAGACUCAUGGAUAUUUCGCAGUACUGCCUUGGCAGGUGGGGUGACCGGGACAUAAACACCUGAGAGGUGCAGACUGCUUCAUGGGAAGGAAUUGGAGGGUGCUGCUACCGAGAAUCAGCCUUCUGAGACCAGGUAUAUGAAAC